UACAGAGGUCCCAAGCGUUGUUCGGAUUCACUGGGCGUAAAGGGUGCGUAGGCGGUCGGGUAAGUUUGAUGUGAAAUCUCCGAGCUCAACUCGGAAAUGGCAUUGAAUACUAUUCGGCUAGAGAGUCGGAGGGGGGACUGGAAUACUUGGUGUAGCAGUGAAAUGCGUAGAUAUCAAGUGGAACACCAGUGGCGAAGGCGAGUCCCUGGACGAUUUCUGACGCUGAGGCACGAAAGCUAGGGGAGCAAAC
rnacentral:rRNA from 1 species